UUCAGAAACCCUCUCUGGAUCUUCCAGCUUCCUUAGUCAUCAAUUCCAUUUCAUCUUCCCAGAUUGUUCCUCCGCUCUCAUGCCCCCCCCCGGGAUCAGAACCGCUGCCACAACAACGCCGCCGCCGAUGAUGAGGACGACGAUCUUCUUCCUUCCACCCAAACAGUCUUCUUCGACCUCGCAAUCUCCGACUUAUCGCUCCACACUCGCGCACUCAAGAGCCCGAAGCGUUCGGCUCCAAUCGCCACUGGCAAUGACUCAAUCCUUUGAGUAAAUGGAGAAUGACCAAUACUUCUUCAAAUUAUAAUUUCACGAAUCAGGAGGACGUUACAAUUUUGUUUGUUGAUGCCAUUGAGGUUGAAGCUUUCAACUCAAAAACUCUGUUCCUGAUUGGAUGCUAUACCAUCGUUGAUAUUGAAAUGAACAUAAUAAAGCUUUCGAGGGUUGAGCUGAAUCAAAUCUGCAGAUUCAAGUAAGUUAAAAACUAAACUACUACUGGCUCUCUUUUAGAUAAUCAUUUUAUAUAAUCAUCUCAUUUUAGCAAACUUCUUGCCUACCAAGCCAAAAGCAUGCCGAUAUUGUUUGCACGUAAUGGUCGUAGUUGUGUCUGA